AAAACCUGUCUCAGUUCGGAUUGGAGUCUGCAACCCGACUCCAUGAAGCUGGAUUCGCUAGUAAUCGCGCAUCAGCCACGGCGCGGUGAAUACGUUCCCGGGCCUUGUACACACCGCCCGUCAAGCCAUGGGAGCCGGGGGUGCCUGAAGCCGGUGACCAAACCAAUAAGGAAGGAGCCGUCGAAGGCAGGUCUGAUAACUGGGGUGAAGUCGUAACAAGGUAAC
rnacentral:rRNA from 1 species